rnacentral:rRNA from 1 species
GGAUAGCCCUGGGAAACUGGGAUUAAUACCGGAUGUGAUAAUAAGUAUAAGGAUUUAUUAUUAAAGUUGAGGCGCUUAGAGAUGGGUGUGCGUCUGAUUAGCUAGUUGGCAGGGUAAAGGCCUACCAAGGCGACGAUCAGUAGGGGGCGUGAGAGCGUGAUCCCCCACACGGGUACUGAGACACGGACCCGACUCCUACGGGAGGCAGCAGUAGGGAAUAUUGGUCAAUGGACGGAAGUCUGAACCAGCCAUUCCGCGUGCAGGAAGAAGGUCCUAUGGACUGUAAACUGCUUUUAGCAGAGAAGAAACGCCUUCAUUUAUGAGGGUCUGACGGUAUCUGCGGAAUAAGCACCGGCUAACUCCGUGCCAGCAGCCGCGGUAAUACGGGGGGUGCAAGCGUUAUCCGGAAUCACUGGGUUUAAAGGGUGCGUAGGCGGGACAUUAAGUCAGUGGUGAAAGUCUGUUGCUUAACGAUAGAAUUGCCGUUGAUACUGAUGUUCUUGAAUUGGGUUGAGGUUAGCGGAAUGUGACAUGUAGCGGUGAAAUGCAUAGAUAUGCCAUGGAACACCAAUUGCGAAGGCAGCUAGCUGGGCCUUGAUUGACGCUGAGGCACGAAAGCGUGGGGAGCAAACAGGAUUAGAUACCCUGGUAGUCCACGCCCUAAACGAUGCUAACUCGAUGUUUGGUUUUAGGAUUGAGCAUCUAAGGGAAACCGAUAAGUUAGCCACCUGGGGAGUACGACCGCAAGGUUGAAACUCAAAGGAAUUGACGGGGUCCGCACAAGCGGUGGAGCAUGUGGUUUAAUUCGAUGAU